GGGAGAGGAACCUAUAAUUGAACUGAUGGUGAUAGGUCUGAAUCAUCCAUGAACACCGGUAGAGGAUACUAUAAUGCUAAGAAGAAGGUGAAUCAGAAUCUAUUUUGUGAUCAUUGUAAGAUGCAUCGCCACGCUCAAAAGGUGUGUUUCAAACUGGUUUGAUAUCUAGAAGACUGGAAGUUUAAAAGGAAGCCAGCAGGGUAACAUAAUGAGCAAAACUUCACAAACUCGACUAGAGGUAUCAAUGUAACUAGAGGAAGAGGCAUUGCAAAUAAUGUACAGGUUUCUAGAGAAGAUGAGACUGCAGAUGUGUUUGGACUAGUUGAGAUAGGACAGAAGUCUACACAUGAUCCUUAUGACCUUAAUUCCAUUCGAACUAACCUACAGACACUUGCUGCACAACCAAACUUUACUUCAAAGCAAUAUCAGAAGAUAGUACAACUUCUAAAUAAAGAGGAGAAGGCUGCUGAGAUGGUCAACAUGGUAGGGAAUUCCUAUGGUAAAAUUCUUUCAGCAUCCACUAGAGGGAAGGAUUAUGUGGCUAUCAUGAAUGAUAGGAAUGACACACUAAAUAGUGGAAUAAUUGGAUAGUUGACUCUGUGGAAACAUGCCACAUGACUUCUCACCUUGAUAAAUUGGAUCAUAUCAAUUCAUCUGACAGAAACAUAGGUAAGAAAGUAUAUCUUCCUAAUGGGCAAACUACUUUAGUUACUCAUUCAGGUAGUUGUGUGAUACCAGCAGCAGGGGUAUUAGAAAAUGUUUUGGUGGUACAUGAUUUCAAAUACGACUUACUUUUAAUGGCUUAGCUGACUAGACAACUCAAAUGUUCUAUCCAUUUUGAUCCUGAAUUUUGUGUUUUUCAGGACCUCUUCAAUGGAGAAGUGAAGGGAAUUGGUAAGGAGGUAUAUGGGUUGUACUACUUUUCCAGUUAAUUCUCUUCUUCAAACACAACUGCUGAUGAUGAAAAGGUGGUGUUAAUGACAAAGAUAUGUGAAUCACAAUGCAUAGUAUGGCAUAAUAGAAUGGGUCAUCCAUCUAUAAGAACUUUAAGACAAUUGUCCUUAGUUAAGAAAGAGUCAUAUGUUAAAUUGUGUGAAAAUUGUCCGGUGUGUCCUUUUGCAAAACAAACAAGGCUUCCAUUUCCUGUAAAUGUGUCGAGAAUAGGUGAUAUCUUUGAUCUUAUUCAUCUUAAUGUAUGGGAACCAUAUAGAUUUUCUACACAUAAUGGUUUUAGAAUUUUUUUUCUCACCAUUGUGGAUGACAAUUCAAGAAUGACUUGGUUGUUUCUAAUAAAAUACAAAAGUGAUGUAUUUGGUGUUCUGAAAUCCUUCUUUUCAUUGGUUCAAAUCAAUUUGAUAAAUAAGUAAGAAGAAUUAGACCUGACAAUGAAACUGAGGUUUUUAAUAGAGAUUGCAAUUCAUUAUUCUCUUAUUUGGGUAUAAUACAGGAGAGCAGUUGUCCUCAUGCCCCUCAACAAAAUAGGGUGGCAGAGAGGAAACAUAGACACAUACUUGAGGUAGCAAGAGCUUUCAGGUUUCAGGGAUCCAUUCCUAUUAGAUUUUGGGGAGAAUGUGCAGAAACAGUUGUAUACUUGAUCAACAUAAUGCCUACUGAGGUGUUACAAGGCCAAUCACCUUACGAAAUCUUUCAUAAGGUUAAAUCAUCCCUUGAUCAUUUGAGAACCAUGGGUUGUUUAUGUUAUGCCACCAAAGUUGUGAAGGUUGAUAAGUUUUCCUCUAGAGCAGAUGCCUGUGUCAUGAUAGGGUAUUCACCAACUCAAAAGGGGGUACUUGUUGUAUAAUCUGAGCCUUCAAAAAAUUUAUAAUAAACAGGGAUGUUGUCUUCAAGGAGCAUGUAUUUCCAUUCAGCAAAAUGAAAGAUAAAUACUUGCCAAAUUUUGUUCAACAGAUAGAUAAACUUGGAUAUGAAGAGCUUCAGAAAAGAGUUAUUACUGAUAAUGAAGUUCCCACAAACGAUGCACUUGAUCAUCAGAAUAUUAUGAAUGACCUGAACCAAGAUGUUGAGAAUGAUUCCUUGGUGAAUCAAGAUGUUGUCAAUGAUCCAAUUGUUAUUAAUGAUUCCUUGGUGAGUCAAGAUAUUGUACAUGAAGUCAGGCCUAGAACCUCCUCAAGAGUAUCUCAUCCACCUGUUUGGAUGAAAGAAUAUGUGACUAUUAUGACAGCCUCCAUGCACCCUCAUUCCUUAGCCAACUAUGCAUCCUAACAAUCACUUAUCUCCCACAUACCAAGCAUAUUUGAGUGGAAUAUCCACUGACACAGAACCAAGUAGUUAUGAAGAAGCAAUCAAAGACCCCAGAUGGGUAGAAGCCAUGAAGCACGAAAUUAGUUCAUUGGAAGACAAUGGUACAUGGAGAGUAAUGAAGUUUCCUCCCAGAAAGAAUGACAUAGGGUGUAAAUGAGUUUUUAAGAUCAAGUAUAAGGCAAAUGGUGAAAUUGAUAGAUAUAAAGCCAGACUUGUAGCAAAAGGCUAUAGCCAGACUGACGGAAUUGAUUAUCAGGAGACUUUAUCACCAGUGGUAAAAAUGGUGACGGUUAGGACCAUUAUUGUUGUUGCAGCAGCAGAGAACUAGAUGAUUUAUCAAAUGGAUGUUUUUAAUGUAUUCUUGCAAGGAGAUUUGGUUGAAGAAGUGUACAUGGAUUUGCCUAAGGGAUUCAAUAAAAGGGAAUGUAGGCUUUUUAAGUCAUUAUAUGGACUUAAGCAGGCUUUAAGACAAUGGAAUGCAAAGUUGACUGAUGCAUUGUCUAAAUCAGGCUACAUUCAGAGUCAUCUGGAUUAUUCCUUGUUUACAAAAAGGAAAGGCACAUCAUUGGUGAUUGUACUUGUAUAUGUAGAUGAUUUGUUAAUCACAGGGAAUGACUCCACAUUGAUACAAGAAACCAAAUAGGUUCUGCACAAACAUUUCAAAAUCAAAGAUUUAGAUGAGCUGAGAAAUUUUCUGGGAAUAGAAUUUUGCAGAUCAGAGAAGGGAAUUGUUAUGAACCAAAGGAAAUAUGCUUUAGAGUUGGUGUCUGAAGCUGUUCUAGCAGGGGGAGACCUUCAUCUAUACCUUUGGAAUGUAUCAUGAAACUUACUAGUGCAGAGUUUUUUGAUUCUGAUGCAUUAUUCACUGAUAUAGCUAAAUAUCAAAGGUUGAUUGGGAAGUUGCUCUAUCUUACUAACACCAGACCUAACAUAGGUUUUUCAGUUCAGUGUCUGAGUCAAUUUAUGCAGAAGCCUACUAUGUCUCACUAGAAUACAACUCUGAAAGUAGUGAGAUAUAUCAAGGCUGCACCAGGUCUAGGACUACUUAUGAGUGCCGAGAAACAAACAAACCUUACUAGCUUUUGUGAUGCAGAUUGGGCUGCACGCCCCAACACAAGAAGGUCAGUGACUGGAUUUUUACUGAAGCUUUGAUAUCUUGGAAAUCAAAGAAGCAGAACACAGUUUUCAGGAGUUCUGCAGAAGCAGAAUAUAGAAGUUUGGUUACAUUGACUGCUGAGGUGGUUUGACUGACUAAAUUGUUUAAUGAAUUGGGGCUGAGCUUAGAUAAACUUGUCACCAUUCAUUGUUAUAGCAAAGACAGAUUUACAGAUAGCAGCAAAUCCCGUGUUUCAUGAGAGGACGAAGCACAUAGAAAUUGAUUGCCACUUUAUCUGGGAAAUGAUGCAACAGGGCUUGAUAAGAACAAGUUAUAUCAGCACCAAGGAUCAACAGGCUGAUUUGUUGACAAAGGCACUUGGGAGAACUCAAUAUGAUUUUCUACUUUCCAAGCUAGGUGUUUUGAAUAUCUUCAGUAGACCUAGCUUGAGGGGGAGUAUUGAAGAUGAAGGUUCAAGUAGUUAGUUAGGUUCACAAAGUUAGUUAAGGGUUAAUUAAUUGUACUUGUCAUCAUUAUAGUCGGUUAAGUUUGUUACACAAUUCUAGAAGAUUAGAAGUAGUUAGCAAGUAGUUAGUAACUAGUACAAUUGUAUAUAUAGGAGCUCUUUCUUUCUGUAAUCACAGUUUUAGUAUGCAAUACAAAAUUUCUCAAUUCUCUCUUCUCUCUUCCUAAAUUCAUCAUAUAUAUAUAUAUAUAUAUAUAUAUAUUCUAUUAUUAAAGUUACCUAAGUUUCAUAAGUGGUCCCUAAAUUAUAUUUCCUUAAAUCAAAACCAGACAAUUUAUUUUUAGCACAUAAAAAUCAUUAGACACUGACCAUUGUAUUCAAAAAUCACAAUGCUAAAAAAUUUUAAACUUGUGUAUUGUUAAGGGGAAUUUCAAUCUAUCUUAAUGAUGCUAAGGGAAUUGAAAAGCUUCUUUAAUGUAUCUAGGUUGGACACAAAUACAGUAAAAUCAAAUAUCUAUGGAGCGAAUAUGACAAGCCAAUGUGUAAAUAAUAUUUGUGAGUUGACUUGGUACCAAAAAGAGGCCUUACCUUUCAGAUAGAUAUCUCUCAAGAUAGAUAUACAUAAAUAUACAUAAUUUUUUCCGAAGUUAACGGAUGCACGUGUACACAAUCUAGAAGGGUGGGUCUGCCUCUAGCGAUGGGUGGAUCAUGUCUACGUGACACCCCAGAAAUUUUUUCGAACUAAGACUUGAACCAUCCUUCGUUGUGAGUAGGAUUUUUACCGAGCACGUCUCCGUCGACGUGCCUCUUUCAACGUGUUUUUUAAAAAUAAAAUUUAAAAAAUUAUUUCUUUUGUUCUUCUUUAAUUUAAUUAGUUUAUAAUUUUUUUUGAAAUAGAAUCCGUUUUAGCUAUAACUUUUAGUUUUAAAUUCAAAACUUAACGCUGAAGCGGGAAAAAAAGUAACUAACAACUUAAAUCAUGUUAAAAUUUAAUCAACUUGCUAAAUUCUACCUUUCUCUUAUUAUAUAAGAGACCGUUUGUGUUGAAGCAGACACGUCUCCGUCGACGUGCCUGCUUCAUCGUAUUUUUUUUUAAAAAAAAACUUAAAAUUUAUUUCUUUUUCUCUACUUUAAUUUAAUUAUUGUAUAAUUUUUUCGAAAUUAUGAAAUCAUUUUUAGCUAUGACUUUUAGUUUUAAAUUCAAGACUUCACGUUGAAGCAGGAUAAAAAGCAAUUAACUUAAAUCAUAUUAAAAUUUAUUCUACUUUCUAUAUUCUACCUAUGUCACAUAAAUUAAAUUAAAAAUAAAACUAAAAUAUUAGGCCCGUGCUAGCACGGGCACCUAUUUCUAGUAUAUAUAUAUAUAUAUAUAUAUAUAUAUAUAUGCGCAAGGACAAAGCCAUAAGUGUGUGAGGGCAUUUUUAUAUUAAUUUUAAUACGAUAUGUGGGACCUACAACGUGCUUUUCCUCAACCAUUUUUUUCUCGUUCCUGCUUUUCUCUUUCAUGUUUUGUUUCAUUUUCUAUCUUUUUAGUGGAGUAUCUAUUUUGAAACCAAUUUCAUUAUUACCUAAUUUUUAUUUUUGCUUAUCAUAAAAAUAAAAUUUUCUUUUGUCUUAUAUAUUUUAUUAAAUAAAAAAUAUAUUGUUUUUUUAAUAUUAUUGUAUCACUAAAUAAAUGCAUAAGAUAUUAAUAGUCAAACUUAAUAUUUUAAAACAUAAUUAAUAAAACAAAUUUAAUAAAAUAAACCUCUAACAAAAUACAAGUGAAUCUAUAUAUAAAAAGAAUUGUGAAAUACAUAUUAUUAAAUUAUAUAUUAAAUAUUUAAAUAUUAUUGGCAUAUAGAAAAUAUGAGUGUUACAACUAUAUUGUUGUUGUUGUUGUUAAUAAAAUAAACCUCUAACAAAAUACAGGUGAAUCUAUAUAUAAAAAGAAUUGUGAAAUACAUAUUAUUAAAUUAUAUAUUAAAUAUUUAAAUAUUAUUGGCAUAUAGAAAAUAUGAUUGUUGUUGUUGUUGUUAUUAUUAGGUAUUUGUCCAUAAAUUCUAAAUAUAUUUUUUGGUUGCAAUUGUUGGCAUUGAAGAUGAAGUUGUGUUGGUUAUAUAGUUUGUAAAGAAUAUUUAAAAUGAUGUUUUUUUAAUGUACUUAGGUAAAUUGUUAAAAGUAAAAAAUAGUCUAGAAAUAGAUUAUUAGAUGUUCAAGUUUUUUAAUAUAACUUCAAAUUGAAAAUAAAUUAUAUUUCAAAUUUUGAUGGCCAAACGUUGAUUUUAAAAUAAAUUGAAAUAUUAUUACGAAAAAAAUAAAUAUUUUUAUGUUCGAAUGGAUCCUAAAACUAGAAGUUGAAAAAUAUAUGAAACAUAAAGAUGAUUUUUUAAAGAAUGAUAAAUGAAAAAUAAAAGAAAAAGAAACAAAAAGAAUUUUAAUAGACAAUUUUCAAAAUAUAAAUAACCAUUCAAAUAAUUAAUUUCAAUUUUUUACGCUCACAACCUCUAAUUAUCUACAACAUGGGCUUGACACAUUUUAUAUAAAAUUAUCCAGCUCUAACUUAUAUAUUAAUCACAAAAAAUCCAUUGGAAAUUCACUAAUCGAAAAAGAACAACGGAUAAACUAAUCAGAUCGUCUAACUAAUUUGACACAGGUCUUCAGGAAGUUGAGAAUUUGGAUAGAGCAUUAGUAAUUCACAAGGACUAUCAAGGCUUACAUGGAGACAGCUUGGGAGGGCAGGAUGCUGUGGUGUUAGAUACGGUGGAGUUUGAGAAAGAGCCUCAUCUGCAUUUAGAAGAUGUUGAUAACAGAUACAGGUCAGACAAUAGUGAGGAGCUCCUUACUGGUUGCUCACCUGUCAAUCAAGAACAUAUGCACAAUGUUAGUAUGAUUAGUGCUGCUCAAAAUGCAAUAAUCAAGUUUUCAGGGGUAAUCAAACAAAGUUCUCCUAUCAAAGAACUUCAUGAUUUGGUUUCUCAUAAAAUUGUAGAUAAAGACAACACUUCAGUAGAGGUAACAAAUCAACAGCAAAAUGAUCUAGUAAUAAACAAGGAUGAAAAUGAAAACUACAGUGAUCAUGCACAGGUUGUAAAUAAUGCAGGAGGUUCCCCUCAAGGGAAAUCAAAGAAGAAGAAGACUAAAUCUCAAGGGGAUAAGCCUAUUAGGAUUAACCCUAUGAGGUCUGGUAGAGCUAUGUCAAAAUGAUCUUUAAAGCAUUAAUAUGGAAUAUUAGAUCAAUUAGAUCUAAACAUUCUUUCCAUAGAGUGCAAAUGCUUCAUAGACAUCACAAAUUUGAUUUGGUUGCCUUGAUGGAACCUUUUCAAGAGACUAGGCAGAUCCAACAGUAUAAAAGGAGACUAGGCAUGGCCUAUGCAAAUUAUAAUAUCAAUGGGAAGAUUUGGUUGUUUGUAAAGGAGGACAUUCAGGUGGAGGUUGUUUCAGAUUCUGAACAACAGUUGACUAUUAAGAUGUUAUUCCGUAGUGGAUAUCAGAUUGUUAGUACUCUUGUCUAUGCUAAGUGUACAACUGUUGAAAGAAUUCAAUUGUGGGAAGAUUUGUAUGUCAUUGGGCAAAAUAUGUAUUUCCCCUGGUGUGUUGGAGGGGAUUUUAAUAUUAUUAUGGAUGCCGAAGAAAAGAUAGGUGGUCUACCUGUCUAUCCUACUGAGGUGGAUGAUUUUGCAUUUUGUGUCAAUUCCUGUGAAUUAUUUGACAUUAAAUUCAAAGAUAGCCCUUUCACUUGGUGGAAUGGGAGGACGGAUGGUGAUUGUAUUUUUAAAAGAUUAGACAGGGUUGUAGGGAAUCAAGCAUUUUUGGAAGGGUUGGGUCAUGUGGAGUUAGAACAUCUAGCUAGGACAGGGUCAGAUCAUGCUCCUAUGUUGCUAUCUUGUGGAGUUAAAACUAUCCAGUUCCUCAAACCUUUUAGAUUCCUCAACUUUUGGUCUGAAAAGGAAGGGUUCAAAGACCUGAUUAGGCAAAAUUGGGUUGAUGAUCAUUCUGAUGAUGUGUUUGUUAAUUUAAAGCUCAAGAUGAAGAAGACUAAACUAGCUCUUUCUAAGUGGAGUAGAGAAAGUUUUGGGGAUAUUUUCAAACAAUUAGUUAUAAGGGAGGAUAUUCUGAAAAUCAAAGAAAAAUUGUUUGAGGAUGUUCCUUCUGAUGCUAAUAGAAUUAUCCUCAAUAGAGCUCAAGAAGAAUAUACAAAAUACUUGAAGUUUGAAGAGGAUUUCUGGACACAAAAGGCUGGGAUGCAAUGGUUCAUUGAAGGAGAUAGGAGCACUAAAUUCUUCCACAAUAUUGUAAGAGGAAGAAGAAGAUUAGAAAUAUCCAAAAUGCAUAAAGCUGAUGGUACAUGGGCUGAAGGAAGUGAAGUUGAGGGAGAGGCUGUAAAAUUCUUUCAAGAUCAAUUUUCCAGUGAUUUGCAGGAGUCUAGUCUACCCCUUGUGGAUUUAAUUCCCUCUUUGAUUAAGGAGGAAGAUAAUGCAAUGCUUAAUAGGAUUCCCUCUUCUGAGGAGGUUAGAAAGGUGGUCUUUGAACUUAAUGGAAAUAGUACAAGUGGACCUGAUGGUCUGACUGGACACUUCUAUCAAGUUUGCUGGGAUAUAGUAGGAGAUGAUGUUGUGAAGGUGGUACUUGCUUUUUUUGAUGGGAUGACUCUCCCUAAAUUCAUCACCCAUACCCACCUUGUGUUGAUUCCUAAGAAGGAGAAAGUGAUUUCAUUUGUUGAUCUAAGGCCUAUUAGUCUGAGAAACUUGAUUAAUAAUGUUAUUUCCAGAGUUGUUCAUGAUAGACUGGAAGUAUUCUUACCUACUCUUAUUUCUGCUAAUCAAUGUGGUUUUGUUAAAGGAAGAAGUAUUACAGAAAAUGUCCUACUUGCUCAGGAGAUUAUUGUGGAUAUCAGGAAGAAGAGUAAAACUACUAAUGUGGUGUUUAAACUUGACAUGGCUAAAGCAUAUGACAGGGUAGAUUAGAGCUUUUUGAUUAAAGUAUUGGAAAAAAUGGGCUUUAACACAGUAUUUAUUGAUAAAAUAUAGAGGCUGGUGGCCAACAAUUGGUAUUCUGUGUUGGUUAAUGGCCAAGCUUGUGGAUUUUUUCACUCAACUAGGGGUGUUAAACAAGGAGAUCCUUUAUCUCCUUCUUUAUUCAUUCUAACAGCUGAAGUCCUUACUAGGGCCCUUAAUAAUUUGUUCAGCUAUGCAGGGUAUCAAGGGUUUGGUCUUCCAAAGUGGAGUGAACAGAUUAAUCAUCUUGCCUAUGCUGAUGACACUAUCAUUUUUGCUAAGGCAGACAAAUUUUCUUUGAACUUGAUUAUGAGGACUUUACAAGAUUAUGAAUCCCAAUCUGGUAAAAAAUUCAAUAAAGAAAAGAGUGCAUAUUUUGUUUAUCACAAGGCAGCACAAAGUGACAUCCAGAUGAUAGAAGAGUGUAAUGGUUUUACCAAAGGUAAGUUCCCUCUAACUUAUCUUGGGUGCCCAAUUGGGCAUGGCAGGAAAAGGAAAACUCAAUUCUCUGAACUCAUUAAAAAGGUUCAAAACAAAAUUCAAGCUUGGAAAGGGAAGCUUCUGUCGUUUGAGGGUAAGUCUGUAUUGAUCACUAAUGUAUUACAGAGUGUUCCUAUAUAUCAGUCGUCUGCUAUCAUUCCUCCCAAAUGUGUCAUUCAUGAUCUUCAUAGAAUCUUUGCAAGAUUUCUAUGGAAUUUUAAGGAAGUAGGAAGAAAUAAACACUGGGUUUCCUGGAACAAUGUAUGCUUACCCAAAAAAGAAGGUGGUCUAGGAUUUAGAUCCUUAUUUGAUGUUUCAAGAGCUUUAUUUGCUAAACUAUGGUGGAAUUUUAGAACAAAAAAUACUAUGUGGUCCCAGUUUAUGUGGAAUAAAUACUGUAAAAGGCACAGACCACAAACAGUAGAGUGGAGAGGGGGUUCUCAAACCUGGAAAUAUAUGCUAGCUGCUAGAGAUUUUUUUGAUCAGGAAAUAUGGUGGCAACCAAAUGGUGGGCAUUCUAGUAUCAUGUUUGACAAUUGGACACAAUUAGGGGAUCUAUAUUACUACCUACCAGUGUCUAAUAAUAAUGAAUGGAUGCAUAGAGAUGUUGAUCAAUUAUUUCAUGAAGGGAGGUGGAAUGAAGAGCUCUUAAGGACCGUAUUCCCUGAGAAUGUUGUAAAUCAUAUUCUCAAUGAUAUUGAGAGAUUUCAGGAUUCAGAGGAAAGAGAUAUUCCUAGGUGGAUGUUAAACAACUCAGGGAAAUUCUCAAUGAAGUCUGCAUGGGACAAUAUCAGAAUCCCUGGAAUUGAGGAUGAUAGUUUUGCUAGGAUGUGAGAGAAGGGUGUACCUUUUAAAGUAUCUUUCUUUUUCUGGAGAUUAGCAAUGAAAAGGAUCCCUAUUGGUGAAGUCCUAGCCAGAUUUGAAACUGAGGAGGAGAUGGUGUGUUGCUGUUGUGAUCAGAUGGCUAAUGAAAGUUUUCAACACCUCUUUGUCUCCUGCCUUGCUGCUAAUCAAAUGUGGAGUAGUUUUACUAGAGCUGCUGGUGUAGAAGGUCCUUUUCUUCAGAUAAAGGACACAGUGUAUAAGUGGUGGAAUGCAACUUGUUCAGCUAAUCUUAGACCUCUAUUCAAUGCUAUACCUGGUCUAAUACUCUGGCAAAUUUGGAAAAAGAAGAAUAGAAUAAGACAUGGUGACAAAAUGAAUGUGCAAGGAAUGAUAAAUGGAAGUAAACAAGAACCUGCACAUGUUAGCUGUUUUUAGAUACCCUUGGCUGAGGAAUAUCCCUGAGGAUUGGCCAAAUUUGGUGCAUUUCUUUGAAGGAUAUAAACCAAUCUUAGUUCCUAAGGUCAUUCAUUGGAAACCUCCUAUGGAGGGGACCUAUAAAUGUAACUCAGAUGGAGUUUCUAAAGGAAAUCUUGGACAAAGUGCUGGUGGGUUUUGCAUCAGGGAUUGGAAAGGUGAAUUUAUAUUUGCUGCAACCUAUGAUCUUGGCAAAAGAACAGGUUUGCAGGCUGAAACUAGUGCCAUGGAGAAAGGUUUAAAUUAUUGUGUUACACAUAAUUUACUUCCUGUGUGUUUAGAGACGGAUUCACUGGUUUUGACCAAGAUUUUAAAUGGGGUAUUGGAGGUCCCUUGGAGCAUUAAAAUUCAGAUUCAGAAGAUUGAAUUUUUGAGAAACAAUAGGGAGGUUGCAGUGCUACAUACGCUCAGGGAAGGCAACAAAGUGGCAGACUACUUCACUAACUUUAUUUUUUCUUUUGCAGGUACAUAAAAUAAAACUUUCCAAUCAAUUCAAGAUGUACCAAAGGAAGGAAAAUCCUUAGUACUCAUGGAUGCAAAUCAGAUUCCAAACAUUUGAAUUACUAAAAUGCAAAAUAAACUCUAUGGUUUGUAGUUUCGAACUAUAAUCUUUGCACAAAAUGAAAUGCAAUUGCAGUAUAAGUCAAGCAGAGGAGAGAAAGGAAAUACCUAACAAAUAUACAUAGACUUUAGAUCCUAGCUUCUUAGACAGUGGUAUCAGUUCCCUCGGAGCUCAAUCUGUCAAGAGGCGAAGAUCUAAGGAAAAUGGUUUUCUACAAGGCACUGAUAUCUGGAGAAAGCUCCAAAGAAGAUAGAUCUGUACAGCAAUGUAAGGGCAAUGAAUAACAAUGUGAUAUUGAGAUUCUUGUUGAAUAAUCGAUAGGGAUGUGGGGGUUACCUCUCACACAGGAAAGGGACCAAUGUUUUGAGCUGAAGAAGUCUUCAACGGACAAGAAUACAUGGCGUUAGUGAGAUUUUUAACGUCUUGAUGUACUCUAUCCAAGCUCGAUGAUAUGAGUCUCUAGUUCCACAGUGAGUAAGGUCUAACUCCUAUCUCAUCAUUUGCACAAGGAUCUUUGAUGUAGGUCCACCAUAGCUGCCGGAGUCGAGAAGAGGUUGACGGAGGUCCACCAUUGAUGACGGAAGAUUUAGAGACAGUGGUGUCUUGACUAUAGGAGGGUUUUGUCUUUCCCCUUUUUAUUUGUUUUUUGUUUCCAUUUCUUGUUUCAGAUUUUGGAUUAGGCGUUUUGGGAC
rnacentral:lncRNA from 1 species